UGCCAGCCGCCGCGGUAAUACGGAGGGGGCGAGCGCUGUUCGGAAUUACUGGGCGUAAAGGGCACGUAGGCGGUCCGAUCAGUCAGGCGUGAAAUCCCAGGGCUCAACCCUGGAACUGCGUUUGAUACUGUCGGGCUUGAGUAUCGGAGAGGUUGGUGGAAUUCCCAGUGUAGAGGUGAAAUUCGUAGAUAUUGGGAAGAACACCGGAGGCGAAGGCGACCAACUGGCCGAUAACUGACGCUGAGGUGCGAAAGCGUGGGGAGCGAACAGGAUUAGAUA
rnacentral:rRNA from 1 species